ACGAACGCUGGCGGCGGGUGCCUAACACAUGCAAGUCGAAACGGAUUGAGGGGCUUUGCUCCUCAGAUUAGUGGCGCACGGGUGAGUAACGCGUAGAUAAUCUGCCUGAUGACCUGGAAUAACACUUCGAAAGGGGUGCUAAUACCGGAUAAGCCCACGGUGUCUUUGGACAUGCGGGAAAAGGGGGGGACCUUCGGGCCUCUGUCAUCAGAUGAGUCUGCGUACCAUUAAGCUAGUUGGUAGGGUAAGGAGCCUACCAAGGCGACGAUGGUUAGCUGGUCUGAGAGGAUGAUCAGCCACACUGGAACUGAGACACGGUCCAGACUCCUACGGGAGGGCAGCAGUGGGGAAUUUUGCGCAAUGGGCGGAAAGCCCUGACGCAGCAACGCCGCGGUAGAGGUGAUGAAGGCUUUCGGGUCGUAAAGCUUCUGUCAAGGGGAAAGAAGUGUAUUUCGGUUAAUACCCGAGAUACUUGACGGUACCCCUAAAGGAAGCACCGGCUAACUCCGUGCCAGCAGCCGCGGUAAUACGGAGGGUGCGAGCGUUGUUCGGAAUUAUUGGGCGUAAAGCGCGUGUAGGCGGUUUUAUUAAGUCUGAUGUGAAAGCCCCGGGCUCAACCUGGGAAGUGCAUUGGAUACUGGUAGACUUGAAUACGGGAGAGGGGGAAGUGGAAUUCCUGGUGUAGGAGUGAAAUCCGUAGAUAUCAGGAGGAACACCGGUGGCGAAGGCGGCUUCCUGGACCGAUAUUGACGCUGAGACGCGAAAGCGUGGGUAGCAAACAGGAUUAGAUACCCUGGUAGUUCCCACGCCGGUAAACGAUGAGUACUAGGUGUUUGCGGGUAUUGACCCCUGCAGUGCCGCAGCUAACGCAUUAAGUACUCCGCCUGGGAAGUACGGUCGCAAGACUAAAACUCAAAGGAAUUGACGGGGGCCCCGCACAAGCGGUGGAGCAUGUGGUUUAAUUCGACGCAACGCGCAGAAACCUUACCUGGGCUUGACAUCCACGGAACCUCUAUGAAAGUAGGGGGUGCCCUUCGGGGAGCCGUGAGACAGGUGCUGCAUGGCUGUCGUCAGCUCGUGUCGUGAGGAUGUUGGGUUAAGUCCCGCAACGAGCGCAACCCCCCUAUCCUCAGUUUGCCAUCAUUAAGUUGGGCACUCUGUGGAGACUGCCGGUGUCCAAACCGGAGGAAGGUGGGGAUGACGUUCAAGUCCUCAUGGCCCUUAUGUCCAGGGCUUACCACACGUGCUACAAUGGCCGGUACAAAAGAGUAGCGAUACCGUGAGGUGGAGCCAAUCUCAUAAAGCCGGUCCUCAGUUCGGAUUGGAGUCUGCAACUCGAACUCCAUGAAGUUGGAAUCGCUAGUAAUCGCGGAUCAGCAUGCCGCGGUGAAUACGUUCCGGGCCUUGUACACACCGCCCGUCACACCACGGGAGUCGAUUGGUCCCGAAGUGCGUGAGCUAACCCGCAAGGGAGGCAGCGUCCUAAGGAAUGGUCGGUGACUGGGUGA
rnacentral:rRNA from 1 species